rnacentral:rRNA from 1 species
CAGCAGUGAGGAAUUUUGCGCAAUGGGGGAAACCCUGACCCAGCAACGCCGCGUGAGUGAAGAAGGCCUUCGGAUUGUAAAGCUCUGUUAUUAGGGAAGAAAGAGGUAAGGAGGAAUCGGCUUAUGCACUGACGGUACCGUAAUGAGAAAGCCACGGCUAACUACGUG